CAGCCGCCGCGGUAAAACGUAGGUGGCAAGCGUUGUCCGGAAUUAUUGGGCGUAAAGGGCUCGCAGGCGGUUUCUUAAGUCUGAUGUGAAAGCCCCCGGCUCAACCGGGGAGGGUCAUUGGAAACUGGGAAACUUGAGUGCAGAAGAGGAGAGUGGAAUUCCACGUGUAGCGGUGAAAUGCGUAGAGAUGUGGAGGAACACCAGUGGCGAAGGCGACUCUCUGGUCUGUAACUGACGCUGAGGAGCGAAAGCGUGGGGAGCGAACAGGAUUAGAUACCCCGGUAGUCCCUGUCUCUUAUAC
rnacentral:rRNA from 1 species